AUUGACUUGCAUGAAAGAGUUAACCCAAGCACUGAGCUUAAAUUCCCAUUGAGAAGGGUUCAACAGGAUCCCAGGAGCCUUUGCCUCUUCCUCCCUUUCCCUUCUCCCUCUGCCUUCCCGGAAGGAGGGAGUCAUGCAGAUGGCUCCCUGCUGAAGGAAAACCAUGUCAGCAAAAUAAGAGAUGUUUACAGCUUGCAGACUGCAUGAUUAUUCUGUAAGGAAAUCAAGUUCUUUUGUUUUCUUAAGUUGUUUGGAACCUUUCCUUCUUUAUUCUACUAUCAACAGUUGUUUGCUGUAACUCCUGAAACUCUGAACUUUAUCCACAUAAAAAUGGAAUGAAAAACGGUGGAAUGGUUAUGCAUUCAGAUGAGCUCUGGAUCCUUAGGAGGAAACAGAAAACUUCUGAGAAAAGAAGUGAUUGACAAAUCAGCCUUUAUGUUAAUUGAUGAUUCAUCCAGAAACGGAACUGCAGAUCUCUUACAACAGGGAAAUGAGACCUGAGAACUCAGUAUUUUUGUCAGCAAUGGAGCCAGGAGCAGCAGAAUCUCAGUUGUGGGAUGAUGAAGAA